rnacentral:rRNA from 1 species
CUAGCUGUAAACGAUGUGAACUAGGUGUCGGUGGGAUUAAAUCCAUCGGUGUCGAAGCUAACGCGAUAAGUUCACCGCCUGAGGACUACGGCCGCAAGGUUAAAACUCAAAGGAAUUGAC